rnacentral:rRNA from 1 species
UACAGAGGGUGCAAGCGUUAAUCGGAAUUACUGGGCGUAAAGCGUGCGUAGACGGUUAUGUAAGUCAGGUGUGAAAGCCCCGGGCUCAACCUGGGAAUGCCAUUUGAGACUGCAUAGCUAGGGUACGGAAGAGGGAAGCGGAAUUUCAGGUGUAGCGGUGAAAUGCGUAGAGAUCCGGAGGAACACCAGUGGCGAAGGCGACACGCUGGGCCGUACCUGACACUGAUGCGCGACAGCAUGGGGAGCAAACAGG